rnacentral:rRNA from 1 species
AUGAACGCUGGCGGCGUGUCUAAGGCAUGCAAGUCGAAUGCUCCGCAAGGGGCAUGGCAAACGGGUGCGUAACACAUUGGUAACCUACCUUCGAGUCGGGCAUAACUCCGCGAAAGCGGAAAUAACUCCCGAUGGACAUGAGGGGGCACAAGUCAUUCUCAUGUAAAGUUUAUCGCUCGAAGAGGGGCCUAUGGCCUAUCAGCUUGUUGGUGAGGUAAUGGCUCACCAAGGCAACGACGGGUAGCGGGUGUGAGAGCACGACCCGCCUCACUGGGACUGAGACACUGCCCAGACGCCUACGGGCGGCUGCAGUCGAGAAUAUUCCCCAAUGCACGAAAGUGUGAGGGAGCGACGCCGCGUGCAGGAUGAAGGCCUUCGGGUCGUAAACUGCUUUUGCCCGGGACGAAUAUUUUGACGGUACCGGGCGAAUAAGAGGUUGCUAACUCUGU